ACAGCCAUAUCCUAUUGAAACACCAGUUCUCAUACAAUCACCAAUGUUAAGCAACAGUGGGCCUGCUCAAUACCUAGAUGGGUGAUUACUUAUGAAUACCAGGUGCUGUCAG